rnacentral:lncRNA from 1 species
GUCCAACGGAUAAAAUGUCCGUUGAACGUCCGUUGGGCGUCCGUUUUGUACGGUACUCGUCCGUUUCGUUUCCGUUUUGUAUCCGUUACGUGUCCGUUAUACAUUCGUGGAGGUCUGGAAGAUAAAUUCACCAACGGACUUCUACCGGACGUAUAACGGAUAAAACGGAUGUUGAACGGAUGAGAAACGGACUUCUACCGGACGUAUAACGGAUAAAACGGAUGAUGAACGGAUCUGAAACGGAUAAAUGCCAAUUGAAAGUUUCGCGUGAGAAAUGCCAAUUAUUGGUAUGUCAGAUUUCUUAAGGUUCAUGAAUUCAUAAUCGAUCUUAGAGUAUAGGCACGUCUUCACAAUCAAGCAGUUCUUAUUCAGGCCAGACACUGCCCUUUGGAGGAAUUAUGAAGAACAAACCAAAACCAGUUACAUAGAAACAUUUUGAAUAUUUAUGCGAUUUACAUGUAUUAUUAUUGUCGCCUUUGAUUUUUCCGUAAAUCUUGUUCAUCCGUUUUAUCCGGUAUGCUUCCGUUAGGUGUCCG